rnacentral:lncRNA from 1 species
CAACGGCGAGGAAUGCGUCGGAGAGAUCGAUACAGAAAGAGAGAGAGAGAGAACGAGAGCAACAAAGAGCGAUACAUAGGUAGAGAUAGAUAGAGAGAUGGAUAGACAGCAAUUACAUGCAUGGGAUGGAAUGAAGAUAAAGAAGGCUGAGCUAACAAUACAGAAGAAGUACCCUUGAAACCAUGGUUGUUGCUAAGAUGCAGCCGCUCCAGCAGCCUGGGCCCAGCUGGGUCAAAGGCUUCUUGGCUAAGCUUAGGGGAUACAUCUGCCCCUGGAAGUAUAGCCAGAACCACCAAACUACCGAGCCACCCAUCCACAGACUCCCAGCUUCCUCAGUGCUUAGAAUGCAGCCAUAUUGCCAUUGGUUAGUUGUGGAUUUUCCACAUUCACUCGGCAAUUCAUUAUUUCUAUCCAAAUGUUGUCUGCAUUCUAUUGGUUGGAUAUUGUUAUCAAUACUUUAUAUGUAGACCUACAUUUAGGACAUAUCUAUCACUGUACCUAAUAUAUUACCUAUACUAUAACUGCAUGUCCUCCUCCUGGGAUGUAAGAAGAAAUGUAUACUUAUCAUUCACUAUUGAA